rnacentral:pre_miRNA from 6 species
GUACUGUCUUUGUGCUAAGGUGCAUCUAGUGCAGAUAGUGAAAUAGACUAGCACCUACUGCCCUAAGUGCUCCUUCUGGCAUAAGGGGCUGUAAUAUG